rnacentral:rRNA from 1 species
CCUACGGGAGACAGCAGUGAGGAAUAUUGGUCAAUGGCCGUAAGGCUGAACCAGCCAAGUCGCGUGAAGGAAGAAGGAGCUAUGGUUUGUAAACUUCUUUUAUAGGGGAAUAAAGGUAUCCACGUGUGGAUAUUUGCAUGUACCCUAUGAAUAAGCAUCGGCUAACUCCGUGCCAGCAGCCGCGGUAAUACGGAGGAUGCGAGCGUUAUCCGGAUUUAUUGGGUUUAAAGGGUGCGUAGGUUGUUUUUUAAGUCAGCGGUGAAAGUUUGUGGCUCAACCAUAAAAUUGCCGUUGAAACUGGCAGACUUGAGUGUGUUUGAGGUAGGCGGAAUGCGUGGUGUAGCGGUGAAAUGCAUAGAUAUCACGCAGAACUCCGAUUGCGAAGGCAGCUUACUAAGCCAUAACUGACACUGAGGCACGAAAGCGUGGGGAUCAAACAGGAUUAGAUACCCUGGUAGUC